rnacentral:rRNA from 1 species
UACGUAGGGGGCGAGCGUUGUCCGGAGUUACUGGGCGUAAAGGGCGUGCAGGCGGUGCGGUAAGUUUAGAGUGACAGUAUCCGGCUUAACUGGAUAAGGCCUCUGAAAACUGCCGGACUUGAGGGCCAGAGAGGGACAUAGAAUUCCGGGUGGAGUGGUGAAAUGCGUAGAUAUCCGGAGGAAGUACCAAAGGCGAAGGCAGUUGUCCUGGCUGG